GGCUGGGUGAGUGGGGGAUUGAAAAUCCUUGUGUCGGUGGUUCGAUUCCGCCCCGGGCCA
rnacentral:tRNA from 1 species